AUGAACGCUAGCGGCAGGCCUAACACAUGCAAGUCGAGGGGCAUCACGAGGUAGCAAUACUUUGGUGGCGACCGGCGCACGGGUGCGUAACGCGUAUGUAACCUACCUAUAACAGGGGCAUAACACUGAGAAAUUGGUACUAAUUCCCCAUAAUAUUCGGAGAGGCAUCUCUCCGGGUUGAAAACUCCGGUGGUUAUAGAUGGACAUGCGUUGUAUUAGCUAGUUGGUGAGGUAACGGCUCACCAAGGCAACGAUACAUAGGGGGACUGAGAGGUUAACCCCCCCACACUGGUACUGAGACACGGACCAGACUCCUACGGGAGGCAGCAGUGAGGAAUAUUGGUCAAUGGACGCAAGUCUGAACCAGCCAUGCCGCGUGCAGGAAGACGGCUCUAUGAGUUGUAAACUGCUUUUGUACGAGGGUAAACUCACCUACGUGUAGGUGACUGAAAGUAUCGUACGAAUAAGGAUCGGCUAACUCCGUGCCAGCAGCCGCGGUAAUACGGAGGAUUCAAGCGUUAUCCGGAUUUAUUGGGUUUAAAGGGUGCGUAGGCGGUUUGAUAAGUUAGAGGUGAAAUCCCGGGGCUUAACUCCGGAACUGCCUCUAAUACUGUUAGACUAGAGAGUAGUUGCGGUAGGCGGAAUGUAUGGUGUAGCGGUGAAAUGCUUAGAGAUCAUACAGAACACCGAUUGCGAAGGCAGCUUACCAAACUAUAUCUGACGUUGAGGCACGAAAGCGUGGGGAGCAAACAGGAUUAGAUACCCUGGUAGUCCACGCAGUAAACGAUGAUAACUCGUUGUCGGCGAUACACAGUCGGUGACUAAGCGAAAGCGAUAAGUUAUCCACCUGGGGAGUACGUUCGCAAGAAUGAAACUCAAAGGAAUUGACGGGGGCCCGCACAAGCAGUGGAGUAUGUGGUUUAAUUCGAAGCAACGCGAAGAACCUUACCAAGGCUUGACAUAUACAGGAAUAUUUAAGAGAUUAAAUAGCUCUUCGGAGUCUGUAUACAGGUGGUGCAUGGUUGUCGUCAGCUCGUGCCGUGAGGUGUCGGGUUAAGUCCCAUAACGAGCGCAACCCCUACCGUUAGUUGCCAUCAGGUCAAGCUGGGCACUCUGGCGGGACUGCCGGUGUAAGCCGAGAGGAAGGUGGGGAUGACGUCAAAUCAGCACGGCCCUUACGUCCGGGGCUACACACGUGUUACAAUGGUAGGUACAGAGGGUCGCUACCCCGCGAGGGGAUGCCAAUCUCGAAAGCCUAUCUCAGUUCGGAUUGGAGGCUGAAACCCGCCUCCAUGAAGUUGGAUUCGCUAGUAAUCGCGCAUCAGCCAUGGCGCGGUGAAUACGUUCCCGGGCCUUGUACACACCGCCCGUCAAGCCAUGGAAGCUGGGGGUGCCUGAAGUUCGUGACCGCAAGGAGCGACCUAGGGCAAAACCGGUAACUGGGGCU
rnacentral:rRNA from 1 species